rnacentral:rRNA from 1 species
GAGGGAUAUUACCGAGUUUACAACUCCCAAACCCAAUGUGAACCAUACCAAACUGUUGCCUCGGCGGGGUCACGCCCCGGGUGCGUCGCAGCCCCGGAACCAGGCGCCCGCCGGAGGGACCAACCAAACUCUUUCUGUAGUCCCCUCGCGGACGUUAUUUCUUACAGCUCUGAGCAAAAAUUCAAAAUGAAUCAAAACUUUCAACAACGGAUCUCUUGGUUCUGGCAUCGAUGAAGAACGCAGCGAAAUGCGAUAAGUAAUGUGAAUUGCAGAAUUCAGUGAAUCAUCGAAUCUUUGAACGCACAUUGCGCCCGCCAGUAUUCUGGCGGGCAUGCCUGUCCGAGCGUCAUUUCAACCCUCGAACCCCUCCGGGGGGUCGGCGUUGGGGAUCGGGAACCCCUAAGACGGGAUCCCGGCCCCGAAAUACAGUGGCGGUCUCGCCGCAGCCUCUCCUGCGCAGUAGUUUGCACAACUCGCACCGGGAGCGCGGCGCGUCCACGUCCGUAAAACACCCAACUUCUGAAAUGUUGACCUCGGAUCAGGUAGGAAUACCCGCUGAACUUAAGCAUAUCAAUAA